GACGAACGCUGGCGGCGUGCUUAACACAUGCAAGUCGAACGGAAAGGCCCUGCUUUUGUGGGGUGCUCGAGUGGCGAACGGGUGAGUAACACGUGAGUAACCUGCCCUUGACUUUGGGAUAACUUCAGGAAACUGGGGCUAAUACCGGAUAGGAGCUCCUGCUGCAUGGUGGGGGUUGGAAAGUUUCGGCGGUUGGGGAUGGACUCGCGGCUUAUCAGCUUGUUGGUGGGGUAGUGGCUUACCAAGGCUUUGACGGGUAGCCGGCCUGAGAGGGUGACCGGCCACAUUGGGACUGGGAGACGGCCCAGACUGCAACGGGAGGCAGCAGUGGGGAAUAUUGCACAAUGGGCGGAAGCCUGAUGCAGCAACGCCGCGUGCGGGAUGACGGCCUUCGGGUUGUGAACCGCUUUCGCCUGUGACGAAGCGUGAGUGACGGUAAUGGGAAAAGAAGCACCGGCUAACUACGUG
rnacentral:rRNA from 1 species